GAUGAACGCUGGCGGCGUGCCUAAUACAUGCAAGUCGAACGCACAGCGAAAGGUGCUUGCACCUUUCAAGUGAGUGGCGAACGGGUGAGUAACACGUGGAUAACCUACCUCAAGGUUGGGGAUAACAUUUGGAAACAGAUGCUAAUACCGAAUAAAACUUCGUAUCGCAUGAUACAAGGUUAAAAGGCGCUACGGCGUCACCUAGAGAUGGAUCCGCGGUGCAUUAGUUAGUUGGUGGGUAAAGGCUACCAAGACAAUGAUGCAUAGCCGAGUUGAGAGACUGAUCGGCCACAUUGGGACUGAGACAC
rnacentral:rRNA from 1 species